UACGUAGGGGGCAAGCGUUGUCCGGAAUUAUUGGGCGUAAAGAGCGCGUAGGCGGUCCGUUAAGUCGGCUGUGAAAGUCAAGGGCUCAACCCUUGAAAGCCGGCCGAUACUGUCGGACUAGAGUCCGGAAGAGGCGAGUGGAAUUCCCGGUGUAGCGGUGAAAUGCGCAGAUAUCGGGAGGAACACCAAUGGCGAAGGCAGCUCGCUGGGACGGGACUGACGCUGAGGCGCGAAAGCGUGGGGAGCAAACAGG
rnacentral:rRNA from 1 species